GACGAACGCUGGCGGCGUGCUUAACACAUGCAAGUCGAACGGAAAGGCCCUGCUUUUGUGGGGUGCUCGAGUGGCGAACGGGUGAGUAACACGUGAGUAACCUGCCCUUGACUUUGGGAUAACUUCAGGAAACUGGGGCUAAUACCGGAUAGGAGCUCCUGCUGCAUGGUGGGGGUUGGAACGUUUCGGCGGUUGGGGAUGGACUCGCGGCUUAUCAGCUUGUUGGUGGGGUAGUGGCUUACCAAGGCUUUGACGGGUAGCCGGCCUGAGAGGGUGACCGGCCACAAGGGGACUGAGAUACGGCCCAGAGUCCUACGGGAGGCAGCAGGGGGGAAUAUUGCACAAUGGGCGGAAGCCUGAUGCAGCAACGCCGCGUGCGGGAUGACGGCCUUCGGGUUGUAAACCGCUUUCGCCUGUGACGAAGCGUGAGUGACGGUAAUGGGUAAAGAAGCACCGGCUAACUACGUG
rnacentral:rRNA from 1 species